CGUGCAAAGAAUGAAACAACACAUGUAAAGACAUGAGGACAUAGCACAGUGCAUGCACCACCUCCCAGCUGCCCCUGUGAUGCUCUAGCUCUGCUGCACAGAGGAGUCAGAGGAGCUGGCAGCAGCUCACGUGAGGCAACAGAACAUGUUCUACUGAAUUCUCUGAGACCUAAACUGAGCCAGCAAUGCCGAGCUCAGGGUGGCAUGCAGGACUGAGGGGGAUCUUCCAGUCUUUCUGGCUGGAAGAAGUAAGGAGUUUUACCAAGAGAAUCCUGCUGUUCCUUAUGGAGCCCUUCCACCACAAGCUGCAGGAGCAGUUCAGAAUAUGCUACAGCACAACUCAGUGUGCCAUGGGGAGCUGCACCAGGCAGACAAACCUGCUGACUGAGACACCACUGGACACAGAUUUAUUCCUGAAGAAAAGGUUGAACAAGAUAAAAUCCUCAUGGCAGCACAGAAGUAUCCAAGGCUCCAGGGAACACGAACAAGCUGCAGGGUAAAGCCAGUCACCAUCCACAGCUGAGUGGGUAAUUCACAGCAAACCACAACUUUGAUUAAGUGCACCCUUUUCCCAGCCACAGAGAAAAUGUUAAAGCUCUUGAAAGUUCCCUGCUUGCUUCUAGUAAUUACAAAUGAAGCCCUUUAUGCAGAAGACCAGUGAAAGAUCUAUGCAUCUGU